GCGGCGGACGGGUGAGUAACGCGUGGGUAACCUACCCCAAAGUCCGGGAUAACAGCGGGAAACCGCUGCUAAUACCGGAUGUCUUUACCUUGGGGCAUCUUGAGGUAAAGAAAGGUAACGCUUUGGGAUGGGCCCGCGUCCCAUUAGCUAGUUGGUGAGGUAACGGCUCACCAAGGCGACGAUGGGUAGCCGGCCUGAGAGGGUGGACGGCCACACUGGGACUGAGACACGGCCCAGACUCCUACGGGAGGCAGCAGUAGGGAAUAUUGCGCAAUGGACGGAAGUCUGACGCAGCGACGCCGCGUGAGCGAUGAAGGUCUUCGGAUCGUAAAGCUCUGUCCUUGGGGAAGAAGGCGAAAGCUUGACGGUACCCAAGAAGAGAGCCCCGGCUAACUACGUGCCAGCAGCCGCGGUAAUACGUAGGGGGCGAGCGUUGUCCGGAAUUACUGGGCGUAAAGGGUGCGUAGGCGGCCCUUUAAGUCGGAUGUGAAAGCCCGCG
rnacentral:rRNA from 1 species